rnacentral:rRNA from 1 species
AUUGAACGCUGGCGGCAGGCUUAACACAUGCAAGUCGAGCGGAGAUGAGGUGCUUGCACCUUAUCUUAGCGGCGGACGGGUGAGUAAUGCUUAGGAAUCUGCCUAUUAGUGGGGGACAACAUUCCGAAAGGAAUGCUAAUACCGCAUACGCCCUACGGGGAAAGCAGGGGAUCUUCGGACCUUGCGCUAAUAGAUGAGCCUGAGUCGGAUUAGCUAGUUGGUGGGGUAAAGGCCUACCAAGGCGACGAUCUGUAGCGGGUCUGAGAGGAUGAUCCGCCACACUGGGACUGAGACACGGCCCAGACUCCUACGGGAGGUAGCAGUGGGGAAUAUUGGACAAUGGGCGGAAGCCUGAUCCAGCCAUGCCGCGUGUGUGAAGAAGGCCUUUUGGUUGUAAAGCACUUUAAGCGAGGAGGAGGCUACCUGGAUUAAUACUCUAGGAUAGUGGACGUUACUCGCAGAAUAAGCACCGGCUAACUCUGUGCCAGCAGCCGCAGUAAGAC